rnacentral:rRNA from 1 species
UACAGAGGUCCCAAGCGUUGUUCGGAUUCAUUGGGCGUAAAGGGUGCGUAGGUGGCGAUGCAAGUCUGGUGUGAAAUCUUGGGGCUCAACCUCAAAAUUGCACCGGAUACUGCGUUGCUUGAGGAUUGUAGAGGAGAGUGGAAUUCAUGGUGUAGCAGUGAAAUGCGUAGAUAUCAUGAGGAAGACCAGUUGCGAAGGCGACUCUCUGGGCAAUUCCUGACACUGAGGCACGAAGGCCAGGGGAGCGAACGGG